GGUCUGCCCUGGAAGCAGUGGGAACAGAAAGAAGGAAAAGGUCAGUUCUAUUUGGGGCAGAGGCACAGUGAUCCCAAAACGCUUCAGAGACAGGUCUGUCUGUGAAUUGAGACUGGAAAGGUGAGUCAAGUCACUUUAAGCCGAGAGCAGCGUGAGCCGAAGCAGGGGGGUUUGAAGCCACAUUGGAAUUGAGAGGACCUUCAGGGAGACAGAAGAGCGGGCGGCCUGGGAUGGAGCAUGGACGUUCACAACAGGCAUAGGCCACUUCCCCAUCUGCUGCGUUGCAAGUUUUGCAAACCUGCUACCUGUGCCCAAUGGGACAAAUACUCCUGCACCAUUUCCACCGUGCCCUACCUGCUGCUUCACUUCUCAGGCUAAGAAAUGUUGAGCUGCUUCCUGGUUUAAUUCUACCUCCAUUUUCAAGUUUACCCUUAAAUCUGAUUUCGUCUAGAGGAUUGGGUGCUCCUGCCUGUAUCACAGUUAUUUUCAUUGGUGGAUUGACUGACUGACUCGUUUUUGCCUCCCUCUCCAGUCAGAAGCUCUCUGAAGUCAGAGUCAUAGUCCCAUAGUUACUCCAGUCCCUGACUCAUAACAGACGGUUGGUAAAUAGUUUCUCAAGUGACAACUAUGGAUGUCAGAGGGUGUCUGCAGGUGAUUGCCUCCAGGCAAGAAAGCUAGAUGGGGAGCCAGUUAACUCCACUGGGAGAAGUCAUUGCUGAUUGAUUGCUGCUGGGUCCUACACCAUAAUGUCAUUUCUAUAAGGGCAUCCAUGAUAAGAAAUGCUAUUCAGCAACAAAACUGUCAUUUCUUAAAAUCGGUGUUUAAUAAAUCUUCUCAUGUAA